rnacentral:lncRNA from 10 species
GGUUUUUUAAGUUUAUUCUAUACAAGUAGAUGAUAACAAAUACUUUUUUAAAAAUUUGGCAAAAUUAUGAAAAACCUAGUUUUGUUAUUUUUCCAUUAGGGUUGAAAGUUAUUAUAACUUUCUCUAAAUUAAAUAAAAAGAAAACUUGUAAAUCUGAUUUUUCUUCCUUCUUUUAUUUUGAAUUGUUUUUAUUAAUUUCUUUAACAGGCAGAAAAAUGGCCCCCAAGAUGUUCAUAUCAUAAUCCUGUAAAGCUAUAAUUAUAUUUCUUAACAAGCCAAAAGGAGCUUUGCUGAUGUAAUUAUGUUAAGGAUCUUGAAAUGGGACAAAUAUCCUGGAUGUCCAAGUGGGACUAAUGUAACCGCAAGGAACUUCAUAAAAGGAGGCUGAAAGGUCAAAGGCAGACGAAAUUGCACCUGUGGAUUGUGCACAAUGAAUUGUGUUUUCAGGAGUUACCCUUCCAUGUGGUAAGUUAGGAAACAGGGCUUCUCCCAUCUUUAAUUUCAAACAUCCCUGACCCUCUGAGUUCCUGCACUUACAGGAAAAGAAGUUGGAGAAGCUUGGGGAGUCCAUGAAUAUUUGGCUUGAUCAGUUCCUCUUGCAACGUAUAACUGAAGACAUUGUUACUUGUUUAUCUAACAACUUGAAACUCUGAUGAGGCCAGUUGUACCAGACUAAGCACUAGGACUCGCUUUGGACAGUUUAUUAAGUAAAGAGCCACCAGUUGAUGGGUUUCUGGUGAGUCCGAAGAAUGGUGUUGGUCAUGCAUUUCUGAAGGGCUUAGAUAUGGAAUCUGAUGAAUUUUCUGAAUUAAGGUUUUCCUCAAAUUUUCAGCCUAGUCCUUUGAGUCUAUGCAAGUUCCAAGGGCAGAAUUACUCAGACAUAAAAUACUGUACUUAAAAUGUUGUGCACGUUGUACGGUUUCUUGUUCAAUAAUUUUUUGCUUCUUUUUUUAAAGCUCAGUGGCCUUUAUUACUUAUGAACUGAGGAAGCCUAUUGUAUCUGAUGAGUUUGAUUGUCAUUCUCAGUCAAGACACUCAUGCUAGUUAGAACAAAGUAGGCAUUGUCGUACUGCACCCACUCUCCAAAAUUUCCCAAGCAUCAUAUAUAUGCGAUAUAUUAAGUAUAUGGGAGAGUUUUUCUUCUCAUGUAGCUUAUUUUUUUAUAUCAUAUUGUGUUUCAUAAAGUUUUAGUCAAUGUUGGUUAUCUUUAAUUGUAUUUUUUAACUGUUAGCAUUCAAAGAAGAGCCAUAAAAGUUAAAACAUAAAUACAGAGAUUUAUUUUUAAAUGGUCAAUCUGUUAUAUUAGUCAAAA